GCGAGGAUGGCGGAAUUGGUAGACGCGCCAGACUUAGGAUCUGGUUCUUCGGAGUGAGGGUUCAAGUCCCUUUCCUCGCACCA
rnacentral:tRNA from 4 species